rnacentral:rRNA from 1 species
UACGAAGGGUGCAAGCGUUACUCGGAAUUACUGGGCGUAAAGCGUGCGUAGGUGGUCGUUUAAGUCUGUUGUGAAAGCCCUGGGCUCAACCUGGGAACUGCAGUGGAAACUGGACGACUAGAGUGUGGUAGAGGGUAGCGGGAAUUCCCGGUGUAGCAGUGAAAUGCGUAGAGAUCGGGAGGAACAUCCAUGGCGAAGGCAGCUACCUGGACCAACACUGACGUUCAGGCACGAAAGCGUGGGGAGCAAACAGG